CAAGCUUUUGACCUAGUGGAUUGCUCUGUUUCUGAGCCCAUAUGGGAAUCCCACAGGCUCAAGAAACUCCAGCACCACCUUGGACUGGCCUCACUUUCUGGGCCCACCAAGCAGCCAAAAGAUAAGGAUGAAUGAAGGAGUUCAUGAACAAGGAAAUCGUUGCCUCCCUUCCUCUGCAAAAGCAGAACUUGGCAGUAUCCCUCUGCCAGGGCAAGUGAUGGCCUGCGGGACUUAGGGGGAAGGUACGGAUGUGAGAGUUGGACCAUAAAGAAGUCUGUGCAUCAAGGAAUUGAUGCUUUCAAAUUGUGGUGCUUGAGAAGACUCUUGCGAGUCCCUUGGACAGCAAGAAGGUCAAACCAGUCAAUCCUAAAGGAAAUCAACCCUGAAUAUUCAUUGAAAGGACUGAUACUGAAGCUAAAACUCCAAUGCUUUGGCCAUCUGAUGCCAAGAACUGACUCAUUGGAAAAGACCCUGAUGCUGGGAUAGAUUGAAGGCAAAAGGAGAAGGGGGCAGCAGAGGAUGAGAUGGUUAGAUGGCAUCACCGACUCAAAAGAUGUGAAAAAGAUGUGAAUUUGAGCAAACUCCGGAAGAUAGCAAAGGAACCUGGCAGGCUGCAGUUCACGGGGUCACAAAGAGCUAGACAUGACCUAGCGACUGAACAGCAGCAACAAGAUGUCCAGGAAGUCCUGAGGACAUCCACAGCAGGGAGACAAUGGCUUGCAGUCAGCAUCCUGAACCCCCAGGAGACCCCUAGGCUCAGCCCAUAGCAGCCACACCAGUGUUCCUCAGUUUCCCUACCUCAGCAAUGGGAAGAAGAGCCACAACUCCCACACAUUGUUUAUAAGACAAUAAAGAUCUAAAACAUUUUCACUGAAAAACUGUCACAUGUAACCCACAACUUGAGUCCUCUCUUCUGACUUGGGAGCUGGCCUCAUCAUUUCCAUUGUUACCUGCAAACACGGAUCCUGGCUUUGAACUCUCUGGCCUUAAGAUCUUUGCCAGCAAACAAAAUCCUCCUGAAAAAAAAGAUAAAAAGGCAAGACUCUAAAAUUCUGACCCCAUAGCAACCUCCUCUCAGGCUCUGAAUUUAAAUGGAGUAGGGAAGGCGGUUUUGCAUGCCUGUCAUGUUUGCUGAAGGUAUUUGGUGGGAAGCGGCUGCAUGUGUUGUGGGAUUCCAGAGCCUCAGAGGUCCCUGUGCUCUGACUCCCAGGGAAUCUGCAAGUAAGCGGGAGUGGUCCCCUACCUCGUGGUCGUGGCACAUCCCAAGCCACCUCCCCGCUCAGGACUCACAGUCUCUUCAAAGCACCGUGUUACUGCCAGAUUGUUGGAUUGUCUGUUUUUGGAUCUUGAGAGACAAAGCAGAUGGACUUGGUCCAGAGUCCCCUCACUUCUCCUCAGUGUGCUGUUGUUAGUGACCACAUAUGUGGGGCCACCAUUCCCUGAGGGCUGCCUGGAGGGGCUCGUAGACACAGCAGAAACACAGUAGAAAGGAAACAAAGGAAGGAUCUGGAUUCCUAAGGUCUUGGCUCCAGGGACUCUGGUUUCCUUAUGGAAAGUUAAGGUAGGGAUGCUCAAAUACCGUGAGCCAUCAGUCUGGUGCAGAUAAGCCUGGGGCCCACCUCAGACAGAGCUACAGCAUGGACUCUAAUCCUUUCACACAAUUCGGAGCCACCUGCUGCUCUGUGCCUUCAGGACCAACCUUCCAAGGUGGGCACCCACUGCUUACAAUGUGCCAUCCCUCUGGGGGUAGCUUUUUGUUGUUGUUCAGUUGUUAAGUCAUGUCUUACUCUUUGCGACCCCAUGGACGGCAGCAUGCCAGGCUCCUCUGUCCUCCACUGUCUCCUGGAGUUUGCUCAACUUCAUGUCCAUUAAGUCGGUAAUGCUAUCUAACCAUCUUAUCCUCUGCUUCCCCCUUCUCCUCCUGACUUCAAUCUUUCCCAGUUACGGGUGUCUCUUUCCCCUAUAUCACAGCACAGACAAUGGCCACUGAAGGAAAACGUGCCAAUUAAGUCCACAGUGAUUUCAACUCUUACUCUCAUAUGUUGGCUUGUCUGCCUUGGAGGAUUUGACUAAGUUGAGUGGAAAGAAUAACAAAUAUUUUUAGAGUACUUGAUUCAGUUUACAUGGAAAAUUGCUGUUUUUUUGUAGGUCAAAAGGAGCCCAAUAUCAGCAACUUAAUAUUGUUCAACUUUAUGCAAAUCUUACUGAUUGAAUCAACCUAUUAAUCAUCAAUUAAUCCAACCAGCUGGAUAGUUAGCCAGGGAAACAAAACUAACUCGUGAAGCAAUUAUAUUAAUAGGACUGAGGUAUGUAGUGAGGGCAUUGUACAAAGCAAACUUUACAUGUGUUAUUGAGGUCACUAAACUCUCAAGUGGCAGAGCCAGGUGGGUGACCAAGUCCUUCUAAAUGCCUCUGUUCCUCCAGUUGGUAGCCCAGUUGGCUUCUGGUGGAGCCUGGAGAAUGGGUGGGACUUGGAUGGGCAGAGGGGAAGGGAAGGAGAUCCUGGAUAGGGCAGCAUGGCACACACACACUGAGUCCAGCUCCACUCAGCACACCUGGGACAGUGAGAGAAAACAAGCCGAUGGAGCAGAGGAAGCAUCUAGGCAGUGUGAGUUGGAGAGAGAAAGUGGGGUCAAAUUUUGGAGAGUCUUAAAAAAUAGGCGGGAAAAUUUGCAUUUUUAAAAUCAUCAGUCCUAGUGUAAUCCUAAUGCUGGAAGGAACCGAAAGAGAUCAUCUAUCCUCCCACAGAUUUUAGACAAGAAAGAUGAUCCUUGUUUUUUUAUUGGAGGAUAAUUGCUUUACAAUGUUGUGUUAGUUUCUGUUGUACAACAAAGUGAAUCAGCUGUAUACAUGCAUAUAUCCCCAGUCUCUGGACCUCCCUCCCAUCCACCCCCAUCCACCCCUCUAGAUCAUCC
ensembl:lncRNA